AUGCCAGACAGUGUAGUUGCAUUCCUUUUGGAACACUUGUCCCAAUUGCUGCAACGCGAAUCUAAUUUGUUGUGUGGAGUCGAAGACAGAAUCAUAUCCCUCCGCAACGAACUUGAAAUCAUAAGCGUAUACCUCAAAACGUCAUCUGAAGGGAAGAACAAUAACAACAAACAGAUUGAACAAAAGGUUCUUAGUCGGAUCAGAGAUGUCUCUCACAUAGCCGAGGUCAGAUCUUAA